rnacentral:misc_RNA from 1 species
UGACGUACAGUGGCCUGGGCGGUCCGGUUCGGAAUGCUACAUGAUUUCAAAGUAUUUGUCUAACCUGGUAAACAUAUAUUGAUGUCAGUUAUAGCUCAACUAGCUAUCACCAAGAAGUAAAAGGCCAAUUGUCAUUUAAAUUAUUCAUGUAAUGUUUGUAAUUGCGAAAGAAACGAGUUUUCUUUCUGGCAAAGACAUGCGCGUAGCAAUACCAGAUACAUGGGUGGACCUUCGGUGAAGCGUGACGACUGAUUAAUCAAUGAGUGUCAAUAUUAGCGGACAUAACGGAACUCGUGUACGAAUUUUGAACUGUUUAAAGGAGGGCCAACACGACAUGACUGUACGAUAACACGCCCUGAAAUGAAUGUUAGAUUUAAACGAAGAAGAGAACGCUCUUACAGUUUGGAUAUUAAUGUACUCGGGACCGUUCAGGACCUUCCUCUGGAGUAAUUUCACAAUAUGGCUGUCCAAGGGAUAAUUUCUGUUUGGACAUAUUCUUUACUUUUCUGUGUUUUACACCUGUAUAUUAAAGGCGUUGUGUGUUCAGAAUGUACGGAUCUUGCAAGGAUACUGGAAGUUCCAGUUGUGUCUCCAUGCCAACCUACGGCAUCUCACGUGACCGGAAGUGGUGUUGUGUUCGACUUUUAUGAGAGCAACAAUUUAGUAGUGGACAGCUGUUCCUGCUCGAUCACGAUUCCGUCGACAACAGACUUUACACUGUCAAUGUCUGCAUACCAAGGUUUGGGUAUCGACAUCAAUUCGGGGUGUGGGUCUAGGAUCGAGGUCAAUUCCAGCCGAUCAGGGUCACAGGUCAUGGAAUGUCGAGUGUUUGGAUCUAUUGCUAUGAAGGCUGGGGAAAACGCAGCAGUGACACUGUUCAAAGAACAAAAUGGCGAUGCUCGGUACUGUAUGCUAAUGAGUACAGCUCCAUCGUUUAUAAUGGACAUAAACUGUGAGGCCGUGGGAUCUCCGCCUACAACAACGACAAAAACAACAACAAACCCAAUGACCACAACAACCACAACACCACUACCACCAACAACAACAGAACCAACAACCACAACAACAACAGAACCAACAACAACAAAACCAACAACCACAACACCCACUUCUACAUCACUAAUCACUACUACAACACCUACUUCUACCACUGUUACAACAACACUUGCUGUUGCGUCACAACCUAUUACAACUACAGCAAAAACAGCGACCACAACAACAAAACAAGUAACAAAAACAACAAAACCACCAACAACCACUACAACAAAACCACCAACAACCACUACAACAAAACCACCAACAACAACACAACCGUUGGUAACUACAGUUCAAUCUUCAUCGCCAACAACAUCGCCAUUGUUGUCAUCCUCGACCGCUAUAUCUACCACGACUACCACGACUGCUGGGGCCGGUACAAAUGAAGGAGGUCAGGGAGAGAACAGCGGCAACGACAAUCUUAUGAUAAUCAUCCCUGUGGUUGUCGGGUUCUUCCUCCUCCUCCUGUUACUGGUGGUGGUCACACAGCUGGUCAGGACGAAAAAGAAGCAAACAAAGGACCCGGAUAUGGAGAAAUUUAGAUUUGGUCACACAUUUCCUAAGCACAGUGUUUUUCUACAUUCGACCGGCAUGGUGGAAAAUACAAAGUACGACAGUAAGGAGGAUCUUCACAGGUAUAGUGACCGCUACAUUAGCGUUACAAACCCUGUGUACAACCACGGCGAGGCCGAACACUUACCGGACCUUACCGACCAGCAGGUCACAGAUUUUACACAUAACUCUGAGCCAGACAAAAUUAUUUCUGAAAUAACACUAAAUGACACUGAAGUAAACAACGAAGCGCCUUUGUAUGCCGUUGUUAACAAAACUAACACAAAUAUUUCUCUUGACCUUUCGAAGAUGUCCGACUUCAGCAGUAAUAGCAGCAGUGAGGUAAACAGUAUUGGGAUGCUGGAAGAAAACGAGAGAAAUUUGAGACACGAAGAAACUUUUCAUUAUUAACUUUAGUUUCAUUUCAAACAUUAAAUACUGGGCAUGUUUUCGGUCUAAUGACGAAGUAAGAUUAACACUUAGAUCCCCUCUAUUCCUCUGUAGCAAAAUCGUUGUUUUUGUAUGCGAUGGGUCGCAUGAAUUUUUCUGAAAUAUAAAUACUGUAUGAUAAUAUAAUUUUUGAGUCUUUUUCUUAAAUACCAUGAACCCUCUACUAAUCACGUGUUAUUUAGUUAAAAGACAGAACUCGAUUGAACUGUUCUGUGAUAACAACGUACAACGUACAAACAGAAACAUUGUCAGGCUUCAGUAUUGUACUUACAGUGUACACACAGAAACAUUGUCAGACUUCAGUAUUGUACGUACAAUGUACACCGUGAAACAUUGUCACACUUUAGUAGUGUACGUACAAUAUAAUGUACAAACAGAAACAUUGUCAGACUUCAGUAUUGUACGUACAACAUACAAACAGAAACAUUGUCAGACUUCAGUAUUAUACGUACAAUAUAAUGUACAAACA